rnacentral:rRNA from 1 species
AGAGUUUGAUCCUGGCUCAGGAUGAACGCUGGCGGCGUGCUUAACACAUGCAAGUCGAACGAAGCGCCUUAUUUGAUUUUCUUCGGAACUGAAGAUUUGGUGACUGAGUGGCGGACGGGUGAGUAACGCGUGGGUAACCUGCCCUGUACAGGGGGAUAACAAUCAGAAAUGACUGCUAAUACCGCAUAAGACCACAGCACCGCAUGGCGCAGGGGUAAAAACUCCGGUGGUACAGGAUGGACCCGCGUCUGAUUAGCUGGUUGGUGAGGUAACGGCUCACCAAGCCAACGAUCAGUAGCCGACCUGAGAGGGUGACCGGCCACAUUGGGACUGAGACACGGCCCAAACUCCUACGGGAGGCAGCAGUGGGGAAUAUUGCACAAUGGGGGAAACCCUGAUGCAGCGACGCCGCGUGAGCGAAGAAGUAUUUCGGUAUGUAAAGCUCUAUCAGCAGGGAAGAAAAUGACGGUACUUGACUAAGAAGCACCGGCUAAAUACGUGCCAGCAGCCGCGGUAAUACGUAUGGUGCAAGCGUUAUCCGGAUUUACUGGGUGUAAAGGGAGCGUAGACGGCUGUGUAAGUCUGAAGUGAAAGCCCGGGGCUCAACCCCGGGACUGCUUUGGAAACUAUGCAGCUAGAGUGUCGGAGAGGUAAGUGGAAUUCCCAGUGUAGCGGUGAAAUGCGUAGAUAUUGGGAGGAACACCAGUGGCGAAGGCGGCUUACUGGACGAUGACUGACGUUGAGGCUCGAAAGCGUGGGGAGCAAACAGGAUUAGAUACCCUGGUAGUCCACGCCGUAAACGAUGAUUUCUAGGUUUGGGGGAGCAAAGCUCUUGGGUGCCGCAGCAAAACGCAAUAAGUAGUCCACCUGGGGGAGUACGUUCGCAAGAAUGAAACUCAAAGGAAUUGACGGGGGCCCGCACAAGCAGCGGAGCAUGUGGUUUUAAUUUGACGCAACGCGAAAAACCUUACCAGAACUUGACAUCCCGAUGAAAGAAAAUGGAGACAUAUUCCCUUUACUUCGGUAGACAUCGGAGACAGGUGGUGCAUGGUUGUCGUCAGCUCGUGUCGUGAGAUGUUGGGUUAAGUCCCGCAACGAGCGCAACCCUUAUUGCUAGUUACCAGCGGGUAAAGCCGGGGACUCUAGCGAGACUGCCGUGGAUAACACGGAGGAAGGUGGGGAUGACGUCAAAUCAUCAUGCCCCUUACGUUCUGGGCUACACACGUGCUACAAUGGUCUGAAACAAAGAGAAGCGAAGCCGUAAGGUGGAGCAAACCUCAAAAACCAGAUCCCAGUUCGGAUUGUGGGCUGAAACCCGCCCACAUGAAGCCGGAGUUGCUAGUAAUCGCGAAUCAGCAUGUCGCGGUGAAUGCGUUCCCGGGCCUUGCACACACCGCCCGUCA